rnacentral:rRNA from 1 species
CAGGAUGAACGCUGGCGGCGUGCCUAAUACAUGCAAGUCGAGCGGUAAGGCCCCUCGGGGGUACACGAGCGGCGGACGGCUGAGUAACGCGUAGGAACGUACCCCCAAAGUGAGGGAUAAGCACCAGAAAUGGUGUCUAAUACCGCAUGUGAUCUUCGGAUUAAAGCUUCGGCGCUUUGGGAACGGCCUGCGUAAGAUUAGCUAGUUGGUGAGGUAAUGGCUCACCAAGGCGACGAUCUUUAGCUGGUCUGAGAGGAUGAUCAGCCAGACUGGGACUGAGACACGGCCCAGACUCCUACGGGAGGCAGCAGUAGGGAAUUUUCCACAAUGGACGAAAGUCUGAUGGAGCAACGCCCGCGUGCAGGAUGAAUGCCUUAGGGUUGUAAACUGCUUUUAUAUGUGACGAAUAUGACGGUAGCAUAUGAAUAAGGAUCGGCUAACUCCGUGCCAGCAGCCGC